rnacentral:rRNA from 1 species
GCUGGCGGCAGGCUUAACACAUGCAAGUCGAACGGUAGCACAGGGGAGCUUGCUCCCUGGGUGACGAGUGGCGGACGGGUGAGUAAUGCUUGGGAAUUUGGCUUNUGGAGGGGGAUAACUACGGGAAACUGUAGCUAAUACCGCGUAAUGUCUACGGACUAAAGGGUGGGACUAUUUGGCCACCUGCCAUGAGAUGAGCCCAAGUGGGAUUAGGUAGUUGGUGGGGUAAAGGCCUACCAAGCCGACGAUCUCUAGCUGGUCUGAGAGGAUGACCAGCCACACUGGAACUGAGACACGGUCCAGACUCCUACGGGAGGCAGCAGUGGGGAAUAUUGCACAAUGGGGGGAACCCUGAUGCAGCCAUGCCGCGUGAAUGAAGAAGGCCUUCGGGUUGUAAAGUUCUUUCGGUGAUGAGGAAGGCAGGUAUUUUAAUAGAAUACUUGAUUGACGUUAAUCACAGAAGAAGCACCGGCUAACUCCGUGCCAGCAGCCGCGGUAAUACGGAGGGUGCGAGCGUU